AGCGAACGCUGGCGGCAGGCCUAACACAUGCAAGUCGAACGAAGUCUUCGGACUUAGUGGCGGACGGGUGAGUAACACGUGGGAACGUGCCUUUAGGUUCGGAAUAACUCAGGGAAACUUGUGCUAAUACCGAAUGUGCCCUUCGGGGGAAAGAUUUAUCGCCUUUAGAGCGGCCCGCGUCUGAUUAGCUAGUUGGUGAGGUAAAGGCUCACCAAGGCGACGAUCAGUAGCUGGUCUGAGAGGAUGAUCAGCCACAUUGGGACUGAGACACGGCCCAAACUCCUACGGGAGGCAGCAGUGGGGAAUCUUGCGCAAUGGGCGAAAGCCUGACGCAGCCAUGCCGCGUGAAUGAUGAAGGUCUUAGGACUGUAAAAUUCUUUCACCGGGGACGAUAAUGACGGAACCCGGAGAAGAAGCCCCGGCUAACUUCGUGCCAGCAGCCGCCGUAAGAC
rnacentral:rRNA from 1 species